rnacentral:rRNA from 1 species
GUGAAGAUCAGGUUACCCGCGACAGGACGGAAAGACCCCAUGGAGCUUUACUGCAGUUUGAUAUUGAGUGUCUGUACCACAUGUACAGGAUAGGUAGGAGUCUAAGAGAUCGGGACGCCAGUUUCGAAGGAGACGUUGUUGGGAUACUACCCUUGUGUUAUGGCCACUCUAACCCGGAUAGGUGAUCCCUAUCGGAGACAGUGUCUGACGGGCAGUUUGACCGGGG